UACGGGGGGAGCAAGCGUUGUUCGGAUUUACUGGGCGUAAAGGGCGCGUAGGCGGCCAGCACAAGUCAGUUGUGAAAUCUCCGAGCUUAACUCGGAAAGGUCAACUGAUACUGUGCGGCUAGAGUGCGGAAGGGGCAACUGGAAUUCUUGGUGUAGCGGUGAAAUGCGUAGAUAUCAGGAGGAACACCGGUGGCGAAGGCGGAUCUCUGGGCCUUACCUGACGCUCAGGUGCGAAAGCUAGGGGAGCGAACAGG
rnacentral:rRNA from 1 species